GUGACUUUUAAUUCGUGACAUGCUUUCAUGGGCGUGCGCGCGGACCGGAUGGAGUUGCCAUGGAAACGGAGCGCAACACUGCAAAUGUCACGAGGAAACACCCCGUUUCUCGCUGAUUUCACUGUUUUCAGGAAUGGUUUAAUGUCUUCGAAAAAGUCCGUUAGCAUUUCUACCGUUUUCAGACGACGUAUCGUCAGAAGGGAGUGUCCAAGAUUUCAAUAUUUCUGAAGGGAGCUGCUGACAGAGAUGUAGGAAGCGCUGAAAAGAUUCUUCAGUGCUGAUGGACUGCUGCAUCCAGCAGAGUCGGAGUGAACCUACUGUAAGACAACAUCUCCAAGAUGCUAUUGACCACAAGACUAGUACAGGUUAUUAGAAACUACACUGGCACCUGCAAAUGAACUGAUCAGAUUGGAGAGCAUUAUGGAACGUGAACCCACUGAUCCUAAUGAAGUGAAUGAGCAAGAAGACAUUCCUGAAUAUACAGCAUCUACCUCUGUCAGUAACACAGCUAUGCCACUCAUGGAAGCUGCCCAGCUAAAUCAUGCACAGAUUCGCAAAAUGUAUCAGAGCUUGAAUCAAACACAAGCAUCCAUAUUUUAUGCAGUUCGAGAUUGGUGCAAAAGAUGUGUCUCAGGUGAAAACCCACAACAGUUUUUAUAUUUCUUGAAUGGAGGAGCAGGAGUUGGUAAAUCACAUGUUAUUAAAACUAUCCAUGCAGAAGCAUCCAAGAUUUUACGUAGGCUUCCAUGCAUGAGAGAGCAUACUGACAUUUCACAGCCUACUGUUCUUUUAACCGCAUUCACAGGCACUGCAGCCUUUAA